UACGAAGGGGGCUAGCGUUGUUCGGAUUUACUGGGCGUAAAGCGUACGUAGGCGGAUCGUUAAGUCGGGGGUGAAAUCCUGGAGCUCAACUCCAGAACUGCCUUCGAUACUGGCGAUCUUGAGUCCGGAAGAGGUGAGUGGAACUCCUAGUGUAGAGGUGGAAUUCGUAGAUAUUAGGAAGAACACCAGUGGCGAAGGCGGCUCACUGGUCCGGUACUGACGCUGAGGUGCGAAAGCGUGGGGAGCAAACAGG
rnacentral:rRNA from 1 species